AGCGAACGCUGGCGGCAGGCCUGACACAUGCAAGUCGAACGAAGUCUUCGGACUUAGUGGCGGACGGGUGAGUAACACGUGGGAACGUGCCUUUAGGUUCGGAAUAACUCAGGGAAACUUGUGCUAAUACCGAAUGUGCCCUUCGGGGGAAAGAUUUAUCGCCUUUAGAGCGGCCCGCGUCUGAUUAGCUAGUUGGUGAGGUAAAGGCCCACCAAGGCGACGAUCAGUAACUGGUCUGAGAGGGUGAUCAGCCACAUUGGGACUGAGACACGGACCAAACUCCUACGGGAGGCAGCAGUGGGGAAUCUUGCGCAAGGGGCGAAAGCCUGACGCAGCCAUGCCGCGUGAAUGAUGAAGGUCUUAGGAUUGUAAAAUUCUUUCACCGGGGACGAUAAUGACGGUACCCGGAGAAGAAGCCCCGGCUAACUUCGUGCCAGCAGCCGCAGUAAGAC
rnacentral:rRNA from 1 species